rnacentral:rRNA from 1 species
GAUGAACGCUGGCGGCGUGCCUAAUACAUGCAAGUCGAGCGAAUGGAUUAAGAGCUUGCUCUUAUGAAGUUAGCGGCGGACGGGUGAGUAACACGUGGGUAACCUGCCCAUAAGACUGGGAUAACUCCGGGAAACCGGGGCUAAUACCGGAUAAUAUUUUGAACUGCAUGGUUCGAAAUUGAAAGGCGGCUUCGGCUGUCACUUAUGGAUGGACCCGCGUCGCAUUAGCUAGUUGGUGAGGUAACGGCUCACAAAGGCAACGAUGCGUAGCCGACCUGAGAGGGGGAUCGGCCACACUGGGACUGAGACACGGCCCAGACUGCUACGGGAGGCAGCAGUAGGGAAUCUUCCGCAAUGGACGAAAGUCUGACGGAGCAACGCCGCGUGAGUGAUGAAGGCUUUCGGGUCGUAAAACUCUGUUGUUAGGGAAGAACAAGUGCUAGUUGAAUAAGCUGGCACCUUGACGGUACCUAAUCAGAAAGCCACGGCUAACUACGUGCCAGCAGCCGCGGUAA